rnacentral:lncRNA from 1 species
GAUAAACGGAACAAGAUUUUUCUUAUUUGCGACCGACUAUUCUCGGGGGAUGUACAGCGAAGUCUUUUACGAUGCAUAUGCAACUAUAAACGAUUUGAAAAGUAAAUUAGUGUAUCCUCGCUUAUCUAAUUAUGAUGAAAUAAUUAAUAUAAUGGAAACAUAUAAAUGUGCCUGGUAUUGGAACUGUGGUAUUAGGGUUCGUGGUUGGAUCAUAUCACCUCAGAGUGGAAAUCACAUAUUUUACACCUCGUGCGAUGAUUUCUGUUUACUCUACUUAAGCGAUAAUAAUGACCCCUCAAAUGCUCGCCUCAUUGUUUCUCAAAGUACGUAUACAGACCCCAAUGACUGGUUUCGUUAUCCAUCUAUGCAAACAUCUAGCUUAACGUAUUUGAAAGAAAAUUGUAGUUAUUAUAUAGAAGCCGUAAAUUUUAAUUCGAAUGGUCCUGGUUUUUUGUCCAUGGCCGUAAAAAUGCCGAAUAAUGCAAUGAAUGGACCAU